rnacentral:rRNA from 1 species
AUUGAACGCUGGCGGCAGGCCUAACACAUGCAAGUCGAGCGGAUGAAGGGAGCUUGCUCCUGGAUUCAGCGGCGGACGGGUGAGUAAUGCCUAGGAAUCUGCCUGGCAGUGGGGGAUAGCGUCCGGAAACGGGCGCUAAUACCGCAUACGUCCUGAGGGAGAAAGUGGGGGAUCUUCGGACCUCAUGCUAUCAGAUGAGCCUAGGCCGGAUUAGCUAGUUGGUGGGGUAAAGGCCUACCAAGGCGACGAUCCGUAACUGGUCUGAGUGGAUGAUCAGUCACACUGGAACUGAGACGCGGUCCAGAGUCCUGCGGGAGGCGGCAGUGGGGAAUAUUGGACAAAGGGCGAGAGCCUGAUCCAGCCAUGCCGCGUGUGUGAAGAAGAUCUUCGGAUUGUGAAGCACUUUAAGUUGGGGGGAAGGGCAGUAAGUUAAUACCUUGCUGUUUUGACGGUACCGGGAGAAUAAGCACCGGCUAACUUCGUG